rfam:Triticum aestivum genome assembly, contig: Triticum_aestivum_CS42_TGACv1_scaffold_650778_T_3AL-0.064086_1BS-0.038689
UUUGUACUCCCUCCGUUCUAAAAUUCUUGUCUUAAAUUUUUCUAAAUACGGAUGUAUCUAGUUACAUUUUAGUAUUAGAUACAUCUGUAUUUAAACAAAUGUAAGACAAGAAUUUUGGGACAAAGGGAAUACUAC